rnacentral:rRNA from 1 species
UUCCGGUUGAUCCCGCCGGAGGCCACUGCUAUCGGGGUCCGACUAAGCCAUGCGAGUCAAGGGGGUGUCCCUCUGGGACACCACCGGCGGACGGCUCAGUAACACGUCGGUAACCUACCCUCGGGAGGGGGAUAACCCCGGGAAACUGGGGCUAAUCCCCCAUAGGCCUGAGGUACUGGAAGGUCCUCAGGCCGAAAGGGGCUUUUGCCCGCCCGAGGAUGGGCCGGCGGCCGAUUAGGUAGUUGGUGGGGUAACGGCCCACCAAGCCGAAGAUCGGUACGGGCUGUGAGAGCAGGAGCCCGGAGAUGGACACUGAGACACGGGUCCAGGCCCUACGGGGCGCAGCAGGCGCGAAACCUCCGCAAUGCGGGAAACCGCGACGGGGGGACCCCGAGUGCCGUGGCACCGCCACGGCUUUUCCGGAGUGUAAAAAGCUCCGGGAAUAAGGGCUGGGCAAGGCCGGUGGCAGCCGCCGCGGUAAUACCGGCGGCCCGAGUGGUGGCCGCUAUUAUUGGGCCUAAAGCGUCCGUAGCCGGGCCCGUAAGUCCCUGGCGAAAUCCCACGGCUCAACCGUGGGGCUUGCUGGGGAUACUGCGGGCCUUGGGACCGGGAGAGGCGGGGGGUACCCCUGGGGUAGGGGUGAAAUCCUAUAAUCCCAGGGGGACCGCCAGUGGCCAAAGUGCCCCGCUGGAACGGGUUCCACCGUGAAGGACCAAGGCCAAGGAAGCAACCCGAAUUAAUACCCCGGUAGCC